CUACGGGAGGCACCAGUGGGGAAUAUUGCACAAUGGAGGAAACUCUGAUGCAGCAACGCCGCGUGGAGGAUGACACUUUUCGGAGCGUAAACUCCUUUUAUAUAGGAAGAAGAUGACGGUACUAUAUGAAUAAGCGCCGGCUAACUCCGUGCCAGCAGCCGCGGUAAUACGGAGGGCGCAAGCGUUACUCGGAAUCACUGGGCGUAAAGAGCGCGUAGGCGGAUUAAAAAGUCAGAAGUGAAAUCCUAUAGCUUAACUAUAGAACUGCUUCUGAAACUCUUAAUCUAGAAUAUGGGAGAGGUAGAUGGAAUUUCUGGUGUAGGGGUAAAAUCCGUAGAGAUCAGAAGGAAUACCGAUUGCGAAGGCGAUCUACUAGAACAUUACUGACGCUAAGGCGUGAAAGCGUGGGGAGCAAACAGGAUUAGAUACCCUCGUAGUC
rnacentral:rRNA from 1 species